UGGGGAAUUUUGGACAAUGGGCGAAAGCCUGAUCCAGCCAUGCCGCGUGAGUGAAGAAGGCCUUCGGGUUGUAAAGCUCUUUUAGUCGGAAAGAAAGAGUUGCAAUGAAUAAUUGUGAUUUAUGACGGUACCGACAGAAAAAGCACCGGCUAACUACGUGCCAGCAGCCGCGGUAAUACGUAGGGUGCGAGCGUUAAUCGGAAUUACUGGGCGUAAAGGGUGCGCAGGCGGUCUUGCAAGUCAGAUGUGAAAGCCCCGGGCUUAACCUGGGAAUUGCGUUUGAAACUACAAGGCUAGAGUGCAGCAGAGGGGAGUGGAAUUCCAUGUGUAGCAGUGAAAUGCGUAGAGAUGUGGAAGAACACCAGUUGCGAAGGCGGUCUCUGGGUCCGACACUGACGCUGAGGCGCGAAAGCGUGGGGAGCAAACA
rnacentral:rRNA from 1 species